AUGGAAAUGGAAGUCUCUUGGAUAAAACUAAAACCUAUCAAGAAGAAGCUUCAAGAGGAAAAGAGUUCUAUCAAGUGGGAGGAUCUUAUUCCUGAGGCAUACACGCAAGCUGUGAAUUUAUCAGCAUCUUCAUAUUAUGUACCUGGCACUGAUGCAUAUCUUCAUUUGUCGCGUUUGGGUGAUUCACAAGAACCUUUGCCCUGA